rnacentral:tRNA from 1 species
AGCCUUAUAUUCAUGUAAUGAUUAUAGAAUGCAAUUCUAUAGGAGUAGUUGAAUAAUGCUACUAAGGCUU